AGUAGCUAAGAGCUUGGCUGCUAACCAAAAGAUUGGUGGUUCAAAUCCACCAGCCACUU
rnacentral:tRNA from 1 species